ensembl:lncRNA novel transcript
ACAAGAUUGACGUGCACUGUGGUGUAGAAAGUUUGUUUGCCUUUCCAUAACCCAGUGUAUCUAAGAAUUACCUCGGAACUUCCAUUUCUAUUAAUAUUACCUACUAACACUUAAGUCUGAGUGUGGUGGCUCAUGCCUGUAAUCCCAGCACUUUGGGUAAGGCUGGUCUCGAACUCUCGACCUCAGGUGAUCCACCUGCCUCGGCCUCCCAAAGUGUUGGGAUUACAGGUGUGCGCCCCCACGCCUGGCCUAAAUGUUUUUAAACUCUCAUCCUGAUCAGUAUUUAGGUUAUAGAUAAUUUUUUAAAACUCUACUUAGAAUAUUGUUUCAGAGGAGUCUGUAAAUAACAAAACUCUAUAAUUGCAGUCAUAGCUGAUGUAUCUAUACUUGGAUCUUUUCCAAAUGCUCUUCUACUCUUGUAAUUUCUAGUCUGGUCAGCUGGAAAUAAAAGUAUCCAGUAACUCCACUUGUCCAUCUAAAAAUAUAAUUAUUUUUUUAACUAACCCAUUAAGUAUUUUUUAUAUGUAUUUAUUAGCCAAUCAUGUUAUUUACUGUGACUUUCCUGUUUGUUUCUUUUGCUCAUUUUCUCAACCUGCUGAUUUAUGAAUACACACACAUACUCUAGAUCUUGAUUCUUCUGUUAUUUUAUAUAUAAUAUCCUUUUCCUGGAGAGUAGCUGUUUAAAGUGCAUUCAUGAUUUUUCUGAUACUGAUAGUUUUCCCACAUACUAUCAUAUUAUAUUUGGAUGUUGCCAUUAUCACUCUAACCAUAAACUGGUAAUCUAUUUAUAUUUUUAAUAGUAUGUGAGAUUUCUGUGUAUUCAGUCAGAUUAUCUAUGAAUGGAAAUGAAUUUUCUUUUAAAAUCAUUAUUAUUUCUUUACUUUUAUUAAAAUAAAUACGAUUAUGUCAAGUAUUGGGGUAAUAGCCAGUGUCUUAGUUGUUUAAACAGUUUAAUGGAAAUCAGUACAAUAUUUUACCAUUCAACUAAUAUUUACUUUGUUGUAUGCAAGUAUGCUCUAUAAUUAGGGCUAACUUCUUAUAUUUUUUCAAAUCCUAUCACUUCUUUUGCUUUGUUCAUAUAUCAUUCUCCUCUGCUAUUUUAAUGUUAUAAUUCAUUCUGAUUUCUUGUUUUAAACCAUUUCUGAAAUAUAAUAUGCUUAGCUGUGGUAUAUUAUUGUUUUGAUAAGCUGCUUAAUUUAUCUUAUGAAUAUUUUGUUUGGGAUUUUUGUCCAAAUAUUCAAAAUUGAUAUUAAUAUUAUUAGCAUUCAUAUAUUAACAUUCAAAAUUAAGAAUUUUUUAAAUUUUUGUUAUUGCCAUUAUUUGUUUAUUAAAGGUUAGAUAAAAUUUGGCUUUAAACCCA